ACUGAGGGCGCCGGGAUGGAGGCGCCCAGCCGGACCCUGGUGGUGAAGCUGGCAAAAUCUGUGGUGACCCUAUCCUGCGGAGCAGGCCGUCCGCGGCUGAUAGUGCAGAGAGCUCAGGCCGAAGCUGGUGGCUGCAGUCCCUGGAAUGGAUGCCACUGGACCUCAGCUGAGUCUAUCUCAGCGGGUGCUGGGGGCAGGGGAGGGAAGGAGCAGUGGGAGUAGAGACUCGUCCCUGGCAUUCCUCCCUUGCCUUGUGCCCCUAUCAGGUUCCCACCCCUCCCUGGGCCCCAAGCAGCUGUCCUUGGGCCUGCCUUCAUCUCCUGCUUGCUGCUGUCACCCUCACUAGGGCCACACUUUCCCCAGGGGCCUGAGAAAUCUCAGCUCCUGGUCCCUUCCACCUAAUACCACCUUCUCUUAGCCCUUGUGUCAUGCUGGGCUGGCUGGGGCUUGAGGCAUCCAUGAUGGGUCGCACCUCCAUGCCUUCCUGGGCCCAGGAGCUGGGAGGGGCAGCAAUGGCCCUGA
rnacentral:sRNA from 1 species